GACGCUGCUCAGACAAGAUGUCGUCUGUAAAAUUGAAUCAAUCUUCUCCCAGAAGAAUAAAUAUGUCAGUAACUAGGUCGCCUGGCUAACUCAGUCGGUAGAACAUGAGACUCUUAAUCUCAGGGUGAACAAUGUUUAAUGCUCAUCUAGGCCAUCUAGGUUUCUAUGUUAAUCUGAUUCUUCAUAGAUUUAAGACACAUUAUUUCCUCAUGAAUUCAUCUCUUCAUACUUUAGACUGAACUAGUUUCAUCUUCCAUAUAAUGUUGUGUGUGCAGGUACAUCCUCCUCAGACACUGUGUGCUCUGACUGCAGUGAUGGAACAUUUUCAGAUGGAACAUUAACAUCUUGUCACCAACACACACAAUGUGAAUCAAUGAACCUUCAGCUGAUAACAGCAGGAACUAAGUCAACUGAUUCUGUUUGUGAGGAAAAAACUUCAAAUGUUGGAGUUAUUGUGGGCGUCAGCGUUGGAGUGGUUGUUUUAGUCGUUCUAAUAGUAGUCGUAGCAGUAUUGUGCUACAAAAGAAAGAAGAAAUGUCCAGCAGUUACAGACAAAAACAGAAAUGCAGACAACUUCAUAGAGAAUCCCCAAGAUACACAACAACCAGUGCCAGAAUUGAUUCCAUUGUCAAAGGAGGUGAGACAACUGUGUGCUCUUCAAUUAAAUGUUUAUUAACUGAGGAUCUUCUGGUUGUGUGAUGUCUCUACAAAUGUUUGUGCUUUAAGUCAGUGUGUUUCUCUCCUUCCAGAAUCUGGAAGGAAUUAAAGUCUGGAAGUCUGCAGAUAACAUCACGCGCAUUGUAUACAUCCCGGACGGGGACGAGUCUGCGUGUAUAAGCUAUUCCUCUGGUGCAGUCUGAACCACCUGGCGCUAAACCCACUCAAGACUGUGGACUUUAGGAAGAGACCCCCACCCACCCCUCCUCUUACCACUCUAAACAGGACCGUCCCCACCGUGGACUCAUUCAGGUUCCUGGGGUCCACAAUCUCAUGGGACCUAAAGUGGACAUCUCACAUUUACACUGUUAGGAAGAAGGACCAGCAGAGGUUGUACUUCCUAUGUCAGUUAGUUCAACCAGGAGCUGCUACUCUGCAGUAAUCCAGUCUGUCCUGACUGCCUCCAUCACGGUCUGGUUUGGAUCAGCCACCAGACAGGACAGGGACAGACUGCAGAGGACAAUCAGGUCUGCAGUGAGAGUUAUUUGCACUGUAAAAUCUCCACCGACCCCUCACAUCCCGGAUACUAUCUAUUCAGACUCCUCCCCUCAGGCUGGCGUUACAGAGCACUGCACGCCAAAACAACCCGGCACAGAAACUGUUUCUUUCCCCCGGGCUGUAGCUCUGAUGAACUCUGAGCAGUCACAGAGCACGUGACCAGUGAUGAUCAACUGGCGGCCCGGGAUUGGACGGUUCGGCCCACGACUGGAUUCAUGUGAAAAUAUCAUGUGGUCCGCACUAUUAAAGCAACUGGAAACAGCAACGAAAACUGAGACUCUUAACUAUCAGUAAUCCCCACAAUAUAUGACUCUGUUAAAUGAGGACAAACUCGCUGCACUGUUUAAAUGAACAUUUAUUGUUUAACACAGUUUCUUUUAUGUAAUUUAUGUAACAGGUAACGCAUUUCUGAAGGUUGGCAUGAUAAAUGCAUAAUUUUCAGUCCAUUUGUCAUUAAAGGAUCUGUUUUCCGCAUCAACUUUUCGUUUCAUGGCCUUUGAGAGUGCCAUUUUAGCCUAACUGUGUUAAGGGGCCUUUUCCUUCCAGUAACUGAAACUGUAUUGAAGCCAGUGAUGGAGGCUUUGUUUCAGCUGUGUUUGUUUUUCUAGUGCUCUAUAAAUAAAGUUUACUUGAAUUGAGUUAAGGCAAAAUAUCUCUAGCACUGCUGUGGUUGACUGGUGUAAGUGAUAGGGGCCUGACUCAUAAAGGCUAAAAAUGACUUGUUGUAUGUUAUGCCAACAUUUUAUUUUUAUUUUAUUUUAUUUGAGGGUCCGGCCCCCAAGGUGACUGACAAAUGUAGCAGGUAACCCCUGUACUAGACUGUAAGUCUUCUCAUGUUGUAUAUUUUUUCUAGUUUUUAUAUACAGUUUUUAUUUUAAGCUUAUUCGAGUGUUGUUUUUAUUUUGUUGUACCAUUGAACAAAGUGACCAGAGUCAAAUUCCAUGUAUGUGUUCACAUACCCUGGCCAAUAAAGCUGAUUCUGGUUCUGAUUUGGACGCUGGCAAAUUUUCUUUGCAGAGAACAUUAAAGACAAAUCCGUAAAACCGA